CUCUCUGCACCCACGGGCACCGGUGAGCCUCAUUUCCUGAUCUCGCAGCCUCCCGGGCGGUGCCGGCCCGGCCCAGUCGGCGGAGCAGCAGGAAUGCAGCGCCCAGGACUCGCGCUCCUGGCCCUGGCUGCCUGUGUGGCUCUUUGCCCCUCGGAAGCCAUACUUCCCAUUGCCUCCAGCUGUUGCACCGAGGUUUCGCAUCAUAUUUCCUGGAGGCUUCUGGAAAGAGUGAACAUAUGUCGCAUUCAGAAAGCUGAUGGGGAUUGUGACUUGGCUGCUGUUAUCCUUCAUGUCAAGCGCAGAAGAAUCUGUGUCAGCCCGCACAAUCAUGUUAUGAAGCGGUGGAUGAAAGAACAAGCAGCCAAGAAAAAUGCUAAAGGCAGCAUUUGCCACAAGAGGCAACACCACGGCAAGGGGAGCAGUAAAGGGGCACAGCAGGAGAAGCAGAAAGCACACGGCCAUAAAACUCCCUAUUAGCGGGGUUACAAGUGAAUCCACACAGAUGAUUCCUGAGGUGAACGCGGCCACGGGCAUAAUGAUCUGUACCAGUGGUUAAAGAACUUCUUGGCAGAGGAAGUAGAGCAGAAGACAAGGCUUCUGACAGAUUGACUUUGCUAAACCCAGAACACAGUGAAGUCAAACUGUAAAGUCUGCAAGAAAACCUAGGUUAGGGAAGAAAAUGGGAUUGUGGUGGCCUUGGCGAUUAUGAAGAAUGAAGAAAAAAGAUGUUUCCCUGUUUGAUUCUCUGCUUACAGGUCUACCCAAAUGUGUCAAAUUAAAAAGAUGAAAAUACCCGGGGUUGAUGAGAAUGUGGAGCAACUGGAACUAUUAUGUGUGCUGGAAGGGGUGUAAAUGAAUAAAGCCAUUUUGGAAAACUGUCUAGUAGUAUCUACAAGAGUCGUAUGCCUACACUAUGACUCCCAAAAUUCCACAUCUAAGUACUGUCCAGUUAAGUGAUUAUGCUCACCAAAACACAUGUAAAAGAAUGUUCAAUCUGGAAAUGGGGAAAUAACCUAAGUACCCACCAGCAAUUGAAUGCGUAGUUUUAAAUGUUACAUUCAUAAAGUGAAAUACUACCCAUCAAUGAAAAAGGAGAAUGUAUAACUCAUGCAACUAUAUGUAUGCAUCUCACAAGUAUAUUGAUGAGGGAACAAGGUCAGACAGGAAGGACUGGGGAUCACACACACUAGCGUGUACUGUGUAACUUCAAUUCACUUCAUUGUCAGUUCUGGUUAGUGAUUUGAAGAUUUGUAUGAGAGACAGCAGAGAUGCCUAUUUCUAGGCUUCAGGGGUUAGCAAAAGUGAUAGGCAACCAAAAUUUCACACAUAAAACAUGCAAUGGCAUGAACAUAAAAUAUUUUGUCACGCUACACAUGCACACAUACCAGCACACACACAUUUUGCUUUUGUGAAAAAUCACUGUCCUUUCUUUCUCUCCUGUCAAGGCAUCACUUGACUUUACAUUGCUCUAGUUAAAAAGUAACCACAUAUGAUCUCAUUUGUAUGUGGAAACUAAAACACUUGUAACUCAUGGAUACAGAGACAGAGACUAGAUUGGUGGUUGUCAGAGGUGGGGGUGGGGGGUGGGUGAAGUGGGUAAAGGUGGUCAAAAGGUACAAAUUUCCUGUUAUAAAUAAGUCAUGGGAUGUAAUAUACAGCUUGGUGAUUAUAGUUAACAAUACUGUACUGUAUAUUUGAAAGUUGCUAAGAAAGUAGACCUUAAAAGUUCUCAUCACAAGAAAAAAAAAUGUGUAAGUCUACAGUGAUGGAUAUUAACUAAACAUAUUGUGGUAAUCGUUUUGCAAUAUAUACACAUACCAAAUAAUUACGUUAUACACCUAAAACAAAUACAAUGUUAUAUGUCAAUUAUAUCUAAAAAAAAAUCACAAUGUUUAUUAGAAAAUAAAGUUUAUAAAUAAGAA